rnacentral:lncRNA from 1 species
UCCCAAAAGUAUAAAACCAGAGACUUCGACGACCAAGCCUAAUUCCCAAUUCACCUUCUUUCAUCAACCAUAUUUCUAACAGAAAUUGUAAAUAGUUACGAAGUUGGUCACAGUAAACUUUCCCUCUCCCUCUCCCUCUCACUCUCCUACCAAUGGCUGACAGUUCUAGUACCGCCAGUAGCACUGCCGCGUUGGUCUCUGACAGUUCUAGUAGCACCAGCAGCACCGCCGCUUCUACGACGGCAAAGUCACGAGAAACUAGAAGCUGGGCAGACGAAGCCGACGAGAUAGAUCAAGCCGAGCAGUCUGAA